AACAGGGAUUGCCCUAGUAACGGCGAGUGAAGCGGCAACAGCUCAAAUUUGAAAUCUGGCUCUUUCAGAGUCCGAGUUGUAAUUUGCAGAGGGCGCUUUGGCUUUGGCAGCGGUCCAAGUUCCUUGGAACAGGACGUCACAGAGGGUGAGAAUCCCGUACGUGGUCGCUAGCUAUUGCCGUGUAAAGCCCCUUCGACGAGUCGAGUUGUUUGGGAAUGCAGCUCUAAAUGGGAGGUAAAUUUCUUCUAAAGCUAAAUAUUGGCCAGAGACCGAUAGCGCACAAGUAGAGUGAUCGAAAGAUGAAAAGCACUUUGGAAAGAGAGUCAAACAGCACGUGAAAUUGUUGAAAGGGAAGCGCUUGCAGCCAGACUUGCUUGCAGUUGCUCAUCCGGGCUUUUGCCCGGUGCACUCUUCUGUAGGCAGGCCAGCAUCAGUUUGGGCGGUGGGAUAAAGGUCUCUGUCACGUACCUCUCUUCGGGGAGGCCUUAUAGGGGAGACGACAUACCACCAGCCUAGACUGAGGUCCGCGCAUCUGCUAGGAUGCUGGCGUAAUGGCUGUAAGCGGCCCGUCUUGAAACACGGACCAAGGAGUCUAACAUCUAUGCGAGUGUUUGGGUGUCAAGCCCGAGCGCGUAAUGAAAGUGAACGGAGGUGGGAACCCGCAAGGGUGCACCAUCGACCGAUCCUGAAGUUUACGGAAGGAUUUGAGUAAGAGCAUGGCUGUUGGGACCCGAAAGAUGGUGAACUAUGCUUGAAUAGGGUGAAGCCAGAGGAAACUCUGGUGGAGUCUCGCAGCGGUUCUGACGUGCAAAUCGAUCGUCAAAUUUGGGCAUAGGGGCGAAAGACUAAUCGAACU
rnacentral:rRNA from 1 species